AUGCACUACACAAGUUUGCCCCAUACAUUAUCAAGUGUCAAUAAUGGAUUAUUUCAUGAUAGUAUAGAAACCAGCACUUCAGUUCUGCACUGGGAUUCCCACCCUUGCAAGGGCAAACAUCAGUAUGUUUGUACUAUAAGCCUAAUGUUUACAGAUCUGCUGCUAAGAAGGGACACAUAUUAUGCUUUUAAAGUCAUGUUUUUGGCAUCCUGCAGUUUAUACAUCAAUGUAACGUAAAAGCUAAAAAGAAAAAAUGAACUAAUCCAGCUACUGCUGAAACAUAUACCUAACCCAACCCAACUUGCAUGCUGAAUCCUACCAGAAGGAAAAGAGUAAGCAGCCUAAGAAAUGGAAAACCUUCUAAGGAAGAAGAGUUGAGAUUGCAAGUACAGUGCUACUAUUCUGCAAAGCCUUUUAAAGCCAUUUAUACAACUAUGACUGAGUAAUUAAUGUUACCACAAAGCUUUCUCCAGCUCCACACUGUAUACAUGAUUCCCCUUUCAAAAUGUAGUCAUGUAAGCUAAAGUUUACCAUCACAGCUCUGUUCUGCAGCAGCUAGAUAACACACUUUUAAUCUUUGGCAAGAGUUAGAGCUGAAGAGGACUCCUGCAACAGAACAGCCAGAAUGCUACACCACAAUUACAUGACACAACAUUGGGGACUGAGAACUGCCUUGGGUUUGGGAAAUUUUAUGUAAAUAAAAGAUUUCUCUUGAACA
rnacentral:lncRNA from 1 species